ACUCUUUUCAGGUGUACACCGUAGUGAUUUGACAAUUCUAUACAUUAUGCCAUGAUAUGUGUGGCAGUGUUUAUUAUAAAGAAUCAUCACUCUGCCAUUGGGAGAAUGACAACAGGCUCUUAUACUAAGGUUUCAAGCCUACUGGCCUUUGGACUCGAACUACAUCAUAUGCUCUCCUGGAUCUCCAGCUUACUAAAUCACUCUGCAAAUGUGGGGACUUGCCAGC
rnacentral:lncRNA from 1 species